UACGUAGGUGGCAAGCGUUGUCCGGAUUUACUGGGCGUAAAGAGCGCGCAGGCGGUCGUUCAAGUCGAGUGUGAAAGCCCCCGGCUCAACUGGGGAGGGUCACUCGAUACUGAUCGACUCGAAGGCAGAAGAGGGAAGCGGAAUUCCCGGUGUAGUGGUGAAAUGCGUAGAUAUCGGGAGGAACACCAGUGGCGAAGGCGACUUCCUGGCCUGUUCUUGACGCUGAGGCGCGAAAGCUAGGGUAGCAAACGGG
rnacentral:rRNA from 1 species